CAAAAGGGAGGACUUGCUAUCAUUGUUUAUACUUUAGUUAUGCUGAUUGAAAUAUUUUAGUCUCAUUGCAAGCCGGAGAAAGAAUUUCCCGAAAGGUUUCCAUUUUUGGACUAUUUACUCAAACCUGCAUGGAUUACAAAAAGACCAGACUCGCGAUCAAAUGCUUUCCGGUUCAGCUUCCAGGAUCGAGUUCACCGUCUUAACUGCGAAACAUUUAAAUUACGUCAGAUAGCAUCAUCCUCUAAGUAAUUAGAUGUGACGUAAGGCAGGAGCGGCUGAUUGUGGAUCCCCCGCCAUGACUGGAAUGGAUUAUCGCACCAGCACCAGAACAGAUGAUUGGCCAUCAAUCAGGUAGCACAAAGAGAUGAUGUCAGAUGGGGACGAGAGAACACAAGAAGGGUCACGUACGCAUACUGGUGCAGAGGCCUAAACUACUGGGCGACACGCCGCCCGGCACUGGCUGGGCGGGACGGCCAUCUUACCCAGCAAACACACACCGUAAAGUUCGCCCACGGGGAAACAGCCCUGUCGAGGGUAACAGCUCCUUCUCUGCACCGUCCUGUUGACAAGCAGGCUGUACUGGGGAGUCAUAGACUCUCACAGAGACACCACCGUGAACCAUCACCCCCACCAGUAUCCCAGUCAGUGCACCAACUCUUAUGGCUCCUUUCCUGAAAAUAAGCCUGGUCCCCUGGCCACUGCACCACUGCACCGCUGCGCUGUGUGAAAGGCAGAGCUGCGAAUGCUAAUAGAAUCUACGAGAAGGUGGUCUGGGGAACCUGGUGCCCCCGUUCGAUGGUCUGGUUCCUCUCUCCCAUCCCUCUGCAGCGACAUGACUGUGGGCGGGACUGGCCGGGUCGUCAAUCCCUCCAAGCAAGUUACCAUGGAGUGCCAAGGUGCAUGUGACAGACGGUGACAGUCUGACACCCCCCCCCCCCAAGCUAGUGCCGGUGUUGUGCAUCCUGGGAAGCGGCAAAGAACAACAUGGCCCUACCUCACCGUGAGAGGGAUGAUGCACAAGAAACCAAAAAAGGGGGCAGUAUUUCACGUUGGACAUUUGCUAGAGGAUGACACCCCCCCCCCCCCCCCCCCGCUGAUGGGUCGUUUCUGUAAAAUACAUCGAGGUGAAACAAAGUCCAGCACUAAUCGAUGCAAUUUACUCUGCAAGUGGACUGGAAACACGAACAUCGUGUUCCAGCUAUAUAAAUGUAUACGGUGCACUGGGUUGGGGGAAACCAUAGACCGGAUGCCAGUCACACACCAGCAAACGCUCAGUCUCUAGGGGCAAUUUAGAAAGACACCAAUUAGCCCAACUGCAUGUCUUUGGACUGCGAGAGAAUCGUGUAAAAACGCUAAACAGAGAGAGAAGAGGCAAGAUUCAGAACCGUAAGCAGAGACGUGCGGAGUGGCAGUGCCAUGCCCUGUGCCACCACACCGCCCAUAAGCAUGGCAUCGCUGUAAUAUAAUUCUAUUAUUUUUUCUGUGCCAGUUGAGACUGGAUUUUGUGAGAAUAUAAUAGCUAAGAAACGCUUUAA